rnacentral:rRNA from 1 species
GACGAACGCUGGCGGCGUGCUUAACACAUGCAAGUCGAACGGAAAGGCCCUGCUUUUGUGGGGUGCUCGAGUGGCGAACGGGUGAGUAACACGUGAGUAACCUGCCCUUGACUUUGGGAUAACUUCAGGAAACUGGGGCUAAUACCGGAUAGGAGCUCCUGCUGCAUGGUGGGGGUUGGAAAGUUUCGGCGGUUGGGGAUGGACUCGCGGCUUAUCAGCUUGUUGGUGGGGUAGUGGCUUACCAAGGCUUUGACGGGUAGCCGGCCUGAGAGGGUGACCGGCGACAUUGGGACUGAGAUACGGACCAGACUCCUACGGGAGGCAGCAGUGGGGAAUAUUGCACAAUGGGCGGAAGCCUGAGGCAGAAACGCCGCGUGCGGGAUGACGGCCUUCGGGUUGUAAACCGCUUUCGCCUGAGACGAAGCGUGAGUGACGGUAAUGGGUAAAGAAGCACCGGCUAACUACGUG